CCCUUAGAUGUCCUGGGCUGCACGCGCGCUACACUGAUGUGUUCAAUAAGCACCUAACCUACUCCGAAGGGACUGGGUAACCUUUGCAAAGCACAUCGUGAUGGGGAUAGAUUAUUGCAAUUAUUAGUCUUGAACGAGGAAUUCCUAGUAAGCGCAAGUCAUCAGCUUGUGUUGAUUACGUCCCUGCCCUUUGUACACACCGCCCGUCGCUCCUACCGAUUGGAUGGUCCGGUGAAGCCUCGGGAUUGUGGUUCUUGCCGCUUUAUUGUGGCGUGACCGCGAGAACUUGUCUAAACCUUAUCAUCUAGAGGAAGGUGAAGUCGUAACA
rnacentral:rRNA from 1 species